GGAAAGCGGAGCCGGUGUCCGCCGGGCUGCGGGCGGCGAGCGGGACUCCCACCGGGGGGAGUUACCCCGAACUGCCUCCGGUACUCCUAUGUGGAGGCGGGUUCAAAUAUGGAAAAAAAUGUCACUUUAAUUAUGGAAAAUGUCACUUUAACGGGCUUUACAAGGAGUCACCGAGGAGCUCUCGCCGAAGCGAAACAGCCUUAAACGAGCUGGCGAAAGAGUCAGCACCGAGCCCGGGGCACGGAGCAGCCAUCUUCGGGUCUAAAGCGGAGCCACGGAAACGAGCUGGCGACGGCCGCUGGACCGGCACCGGGACCGGGACCGGGACAGCACACACAUACACGGCACGGGCAGCCGCUCCGUGUUAUUAGCCCAAGCAGCCGACAGGCUAACCGGCUCCGCACUCGGAGCCCCUGGCGCUUCCGCACACUACCGAGCCCAGUCGGUACCGGUCCGGGUUAUAGGGAGCCGCGGCGCCGUGAGCCGUGCCUUAACCGGCCGGAGAAGGCUGAAGCCAGCCCGGGCCUCUCUUGCCUCCUUCCCCUGGCUCUCCGCCGCUCCAGACAAAAAAAAGGAAAAAACCAGAAGCGAUAAAUAGAGCGAUCGGACUGAAGCCCGGCGACCGGCCCGAAUCCGCCCGAACCGGCUCCAUCCUCCGCGAUCCAAGAUGGCUGUGUAUGGUAGAGUCGAGGAUGCUGGGUGAACAGCCUUUACCCUCUGACCCCGCCGCCGCCUCCCGAACAUCUCCGACGCAGGAUGCCGCCGCCGCUGGCCGCGGCCCCCGGGCGCUCCGCUGCGGACCCUUUACCUUCAUAUUUAUACAUUUAUACGUGUAUUUACGCCGCGGCGCCUUUUGUGCACGGCGUCUACGAAAUACAUCGCUGUCUGCCUUAUAGUACACUUAUUACCUAACCAUAGAUUUCAUUGCUCCGCUAAGACGUUUUAUAUAUAAUGAAUUCUAGCAAUAUACUUAUUAUUUUAGAAGGAAAAGUAACAUUACUGUUAUUACUUUUUUAUAUUUAAUGCCUUAUAAAUGAUUUAAAUAUGGAUUUGCCAUUUGUUCAUUAUAGGUAGUAAAGUAGGGUUUGUGUAUCACUACUGUAUUGAGUGUAUGUGUUCAGAAAAACACUAUAUACAUACAGUUGCCAACUUCGGUCAUCUGGCUGGCGUGACAGUCAAUUCGAGACAAGUCUGCACACGCAUUUGCAUAUAUGUAACAGUUUUAUUGCUUUGUAAAUAGUCUGUAGGGUUUACAAACUAACCCCAGGCUUUUGUAGCUAAUGUAGCUAAUUUUAGGUUUAUAAUAGAAUAAUAAAGAUUUGCCGUAAUUAAGAUGUCUUGCGUGAGCCUGAGAGUCUGAAAGUGUUACGCCAGAUGCAUUAGUUGGUAACUCUGUACACGUUUCUUUCGCUUUUAGUCUCUGCCGUCAGAAAAUUCAAAAUAUUUGCAAUAAGAAGUGUGCCAUCUCUAUUAGUUCAGGUAUUCAAUCAGGUGUACACGUUUGAUCGAAUGAUUCUGAUGCAUGUUUGGUUCGAAACAAAACGGUUAAUGUACAUACAAUGUAGAACAAUAUUUAAACAGCUACUUGUCUCAGAAAAAGACACACGUCUUAAAAUAAAGACCGCCUCAACAAAUAAACAUAUUUAAUCAGUA